UACGUAGGCAGCGAGCGUUGUUCGGAAUUACUGGGCGUAAAGAGUGUGUAGGCGGUGAUCUAAGUUCGGUGUGAAAUCUCCCGGCUCAACUGGGAGGGUGCGCCGAAAACUGGGUGACUGGAGCGUGGGAGAGGAAAGCGGAAUUCCUGGUGUAGCGGUGAAAUGCGUAGAUAUCAGGAGGAACACCUGUGGUGUAGACGGCUUUCUGGACCAUAGCUGACGCUGAGACACGAAAGCGUGGGUAGCAAACAGG
rnacentral:rRNA from 1 species